rnacentral:rRNA from 1 species
CUGUGCCAGCAGGAGCGGUAAUACAGAGGCCUCAAGCGUUAUCCGGAUUCACUGGGCGUAAAGGGUGCGUAGGCGGUUAUAUUAGUCGGGCGUAAAAUCCUAGGGCUCAACCUUAGGCUCGCGUUCGAAACGGUAUAACUAGGAGUAGUGAGAGGUGAACAGAACUCGCGGUGUAGGGGUGAAAUCCGUUGAUAUCGUGGGGAAUACCAAAUGCGAAGGCAGUUCACUGGCGCUUACUCGACGCUGAGGCACGAAAGCGUGGGUAGCGAACGGGAUUAGAUACCCCGGUAGUCCACGCCCUAAACGCUGUCCGCUGGCUUUAGGGAGAAUCGACCCUCCCUGAGGCGAAGGUAACCCGUUAAGCGGACCGCCUGGGUAGUACGAGCGCAAGCUUAAAACUCAAAGGAAUAGACGGGGGCUCGCACAAGCGGUGGAUCAUGAGGCUUAAUUCGUCGAUAAGCGAAAAACCUUACCCAGGCUAGAAACCAUACUGCACGCUCUCCGAAAGGAGAGAAUCCUUCGAGGGUGUAUGGCAGGUGAUGCAUGGCCGUCGUCAGUUCGUGGCUUGAGCUGUUCCCUUAAGUGGGGAAACGAACGCAACCCUCGUUGCCUGUUACAAGUGUCAGGCGAGACUGCUCCCUCACGGGAGAGGAAGGUGAGGAUGACGCCAGGUCAGCAUGUCCCUUGAUGCCUGGGGCUGCACUCGUGAUACAAUGGGAUGUACAAAGGGACGCAAUACAGUAAUGUGGAGCAAAUCCUGAUAAAACAUUCCUCAGUUCGGAUUGAGGGCUGCAACUCGCCCUCAUGAAGCCGGAAUCGCU